rnacentral:rRNA from 1 species
UACGUAGGGACCAAGCGUUGUUCGGAUUUACUGGGCGUAAAGGGCGCGUAGGCGGCGUGGUAAGUCACUUGUGAAAUCUCUGAGCUUAACUCAGAACGGCCAAGUGAUACUGCUGUGCUAGAGUGCAGAAGGGGCAAUCGGAAUUCUUGGUGUAGCGGUGAAAUGCGUAGAUAUCAAGAGGAACACCAGUGGCGAAGGCGGCUCACUGGCCCGAUACUGACGCUGAGGUGCGAAAGCGUGGGGAGCAAACAGG